AUUUACGGCCAUACCACCCUGAACACGCCCAAUCCCGUCUGACCUUGGAAGCUAAGCAGGGUUGGGCCCGGUCAGUACGUGGAUG
rnacentral:rRNA from 1 species